rnacentral:lncRNA from 1 species
GUUCUCUCCUAAGUCUAUGAUGAAAAUACACAACAUCACGUGGUUAAAUCUUGAAACAUAAUUAAUCUACAUGUUAUCGAGAUAAUGCAUAACACCUCGUUAUGAUUGAUCUAGAUACACACAGUGUACAGUGGUCGUUUCAAAACAAAUAUCAUUGCGUCUUCAUUAUACUUGUUUAGAAAUCAAAGCGCUUAUAAACAUUCACAUUAUUAAUCAAAGUGCUGGAUAGCACCCGUGGAAAGUUUGCAACGGUAGAUUUAAUUUUUCAAAUAGAGUUGUAAAUGUGUAGAUUGCGUGGUUACCUUUAAAAAAAACCUUUAUCGAUAAAUAAUUGUAACUGGA